CCUACGGGAGGCUGCAGUGGGGGAUAUUGCACAAUGGGGGGAACCCUGAUGCAGCGACGCCGCGUGGGUGAAGAAGCGCCUCGGCGCGUAAAGCCCUGUCAGCAGGGAAGAAAAUGACGGUAACUGAAGAAGAAGCCCCGGCUAACUACGUGCCAGCAGCCGCGGUAAUACGUAGGGGGCAAGCGUUAUCCGGAUUUACUGGGUGUAAAGGGGGCGCAGACGGCGAUGCAAGCCAGGAGUGAAAGCCCGGGGCCCAACCCCGGGACUGCUCUUGGAACUGCGUGGCUGGAGUGCAGGAGGGGCAGGCGGAAUUCCUGGUGUAGCGGUGGAAUGCGUAGAUAUCAGGAGGAACACCGGUGGCGAAGGCGGCCUGCUGGACUGCAACUGACGUUGAGGCCCGAAAGCGUGGGGAGCAAACAGGAUUAGAUACCCUUGUAGUC
rnacentral:rRNA from 1 species